UGGACUGAUAUGGCUAUAAAGGAACUGUAAAAUACAACUGCAAAGUAAAUUGCAAAGUUCAUAGAGAUUUCAGGCUCGGAACUCUUUGCUCGUUGGAAUCGUCAUUUUCUUCAUGGAGAUUGGAUGCUGGUAAUCGUUGACCGAAAGAAACUGAACAGACAAAAACAAUUCAAAAAAACUACUUUUACCAUAAUGCCGACAUUUUAGCAAAUACCUGCAAUAUGUCUUGUAUUUCUUGAUGCUGAUAAGCUGAAAGAUAAAUGGCAAUACAAGUAACUUAACUGAUGAAAAUUGCUGUUUGUUAAAUUGAAGAUAAAGCAUAAUCUCACAUUUA